rnacentral:rRNA from 1 species
CACGUAGGGUGCGAGCGUUGUCCGGAAUUAUUGGGCGUAAAGAGCUCGUAGGCGGUGUGUCGCGUCGGCCCGUGAAAACCUGCAGCUUAACUGUGGGCUUGCGGUCGAUACGGGCAUCACUGGAGUUCGGCAGGGGAGACUGGAAUUCCUGGUGUAGCGGUGAAAUGCGCAGAUAUCAGGAGGAACACCCGUGGCGAAGGCGGGUCUCUGGGCCAUAAC